rnacentral:rRNA from 1 species
AUUGAACGCUGGCGGCAUGCUUUACACAUGCAAGCCGAACGGUAACAGGCCGCAAGGUGCUGACGAGUGGCGAACGGGUGAGUAAUGCAUCGGAACGUGCCCAGUCGUGGGGGAUAACGCAGCGAAAGCUGCGCUAAUACCGCAUACGAUCUAUGGAUGAAAGCGGGGGACCGUAAGGCCUCGCGCGAUUGGAGCGGCCGAUGUCAGAUUAGGUAGUUGGUGGGGUAAAGGCUCACCAAGCCAACGAUCUGUAGCUGGUCUGAGAGGACGACCAGCCAAACUGGGACGGAAACACGGCCCAGACUCCUACGGGAGGCAGCAGUGGGGAAUUUUGGACAAUGGGCGCAAGCCUGAUCCAGCAAUGCCGCGUGCAGGAAGAAGGCCUUCGGGUUGUAAACUGCUUUUGUACGGAACGAAACGGCUCUCACUAAUACUGGGGGCUAAUGACGGUACCGUAAGAAUAAGCACCGGCUAACUACGUGCCAGCCGCCGCCGUAACAC